rnacentral:rRNA from 1 species
CACGGAGUUAGCCGAUCCUUAUUCUUACGAUACCGUCAAGCCCCCAACACGUUGGAGUAUUUCUUCUCGUACAAAAAGCAGUUUACAAUCCAUAGGACCGUCAUCCUGCACGCGGCAUGGCUGGAUCAGGCUUGCGCCCAUUGUCCAAUAUUCCUCACUGCUGCCUCCCGUAGGAGUCUGGUCCGUGUCUCAGUACCAGUGUGGGGGAUCUCCCUCUCAGGACCCCUACCCAUCGUAGCCUUGGUAAGCCGUUACCUUACCAACAAGCUAAUGGGACGCAUGCUCAUCUUUCACCGUUGUGACUUUAAUAGUUCAACCAUGCGGCUGUACUAUACUAUGAGGUAUUAAUCCAAAUUUCUCUGGGCUAUCCCUCUGUGAAAGGCAGAUUGCAUACGCGUUACGCACCCGUGCGCCGGUCUCUAGCACCGAAGUACUACUACCCCUCGACUUGCAUGUGUUAAGCCUGCCGCUAGCGUUCAUCCCUGACGCCAGGACUA